ensembl:ncRNA R106.4 ncRNA
CACGUGAAAAAAGCGCGGCGGCACCAAUCACCUCGCUUGUUUUGUGCGUUUGUUCUUUGAACGCUUAG